rnacentral:rRNA from 1 species
GUGUCAGCAGCCGCGGUAAUACGGAGGGUGCAAGCAUUAAUCGGAAUUAUUGGGCGUAAAGGGCGCGUAGGCGGAUUUGUAAGUCAGAUGUGAAAUUCCGAGGCUCAACUUCGGAGCUGCAUCUGAAACUACAAACCUGGAGGGAUGGCGGAGAAAAUGGAAUUCCACGUGUAGCGGUGAAAUGCGUAGAUAUGUGGAGGAACACCUGUGGCGAAAGCGGUUUUCUAGCUAUUUCCUGACGCUGAGGCGCGAGAGCAAGGGGAGCAAACAGGAUUAGAUACCCUGGUAGUCCUUGCCGUAAACGAUGUAUACUUGAUGUAGUUAGGCUCAACCCUGACUGUGUCGUAGCUAACGCGAUAAGUAUACCGCCUGGGGAGUACGCUCGCAAGGGUGAA